rnacentral:rRNA from 1 species
AGUGAACGCUGGCGGUAGGCCUAACACAUGCAAGUCGAACGGCAGCACAGUAAGAGCUUGCUCUUACGGGUGGCGAGUGGCGGACGGGUGAGGAAUACAUCGGAAUCUACUUUUUCGUGGGGGAUAACGUAGGGAAACUUACGCUAAUACCGCAUACGACCUACGGGUGAAAGCAGGGGAUCUUCGGACCUUGCGCGAUUGAAUGAGCCGAUGUCGGAUUAGCUAGUUGGCGGGGUAAAGGCCCACCAAGGCGACGAUCCGUAGCUGGUCUGAGAGGAUGAUCAGCCACACUGGACCUGAGACACGGUCCAGACUCCUACGGGAGGCAGCGGUGGGGAAUAUUGGACAAUGGGCGCAAGCCUGAUCCAGCCAUACCGCGUGGGUGAAGAAGGCCUUCGGGUUGUAAAGCCCUUUUGUUGGGAAAGAAAAGCAGCAGGUUAAUACCCCGCUGUUCUGACGGUACCCAAAGAAUAAGCACCGGCUAACUUCGU